ACUUCUAAGAAAAAAAUGAGGUCCCUAAUGGCCUCUGCUUCUCUCACUCUUGCAUUAGCCAUCCUCUUUUUGAGUUUCCCAUCUGAAAUUUCAGCAAACAAAUACGCAUAUUCCUCUCCACCACCACCACAUUACUCAUCUCCUCCACCUCCACCGGUUCACACUUACCCUAAACCAGUCUACCACUCUCCACCACCACCAGUUCACACCUACCCUAAACCAGUUUACCACUCUCCACCACCACCAGUUCACAAGUACCCUCACCCUAAACCAGUAUACCACUCUCCACCACCCCCAGUUCACAAGUACCCUCAUCCACACCCAGUCUACCAUUCUCCACCACCCCCAGUUCACAAGUACCCCCAUCCUCACCCAGUGUACCACUCUCCCCCACCACCACCACCAAAGAAGUCCUACAAAUACCCAUCUCCCCCACCACCACCAGUUCACACCUACCCUAAACCAGUCUACCACUCUCCUCCACCCCCAGUUCAUCACACCUACCCUAAACCAGUCUACCACUCUCCUCCACCCCCAGUUCACACCUACCCUCACCCUAAACCAGUCUACCACUCUCCACCACCCCCAGUUCACACUUACCCUAAACCAGUCUACCACUCCCCACCACCACCAGUUCACACCUACGUCCCUCACCCUAAGCCAGUCUACCACUCUCCACCACCACCAGUUCACACCUAUCCCCCACAUGUUCCCCACCCAGUUUACCAUUCUCCUCCUCCUCCAGUUCAUUCCCCACCUCCACCACACUAUUACUACAAAUCACCUCCUCCACCUUACCACAACUAGAUAGCCCAUAAUUGGCAUCACACCAUAUGGUAACUUUUCAUGCAACAUAUAUAUUAUAACUUUUCAUAUUCUCUCUUUAUUAACUAGUUAUCGGUAUGAUUGUCGAGUAUAUACUAACAAGGCUAAUUUGAAAUGAAACUUCAUGUGCAAUGAAACAUUCUUUUACUGGUUAAUAUUUUAUUCUAUGUUUCAUUGAAAUUAAUAUUUUUCUAAUAGUAUUUGGUUAUUAAGGGAUUAGAGUAUAUCAGACAUAAACUGACAGAUCAAUAUAUUUGCAUUUGUGUAGGAUCUAAACAGAAAGUGUGAAAGCAAAGAAAGCCAUGCACAAAGAAGAUCAAGGGGAUUCUUCACAUAUAUUUCGUCAGCAUUUGAUUAAGAUUGUUUAGAGGGCUCCGUUUAUUUGUAUUUAAUUUGUGUUUUUGUUGUAUUAUCCACAGCUGUAAGGCACUGCCCCAAUAUGCAUGUGUCUGCAGUUGUUUUCAUGCAUUGUAAUUUUCAAAGUUCGGCUUUGUAUCAAGCUGACUCACAAACUAAAUAAAUAUAUAUCCCCUAUUAUAGUAAUCUGUCCCUUUCAUCUAUGACUCCUUUUAUAUUACUAUUCUUGUGAUAAAAAUAAUCUGUGUUUAUUUGUUUCUACUAAUUAUUUUUGGUUUACCUUUCUCCGUACAAAUAAAAUUUAGUUUAAAAGUGAAUUUGACAGCACUUUUAAGAGAAACCUAAAAGAAAUAGAAGAAUAAUGCUUCUCAAAAGAUUAAAAAAAGACCACUAUAUUAUAUAUAUGUGAACCAAGGAUCAUGUCUCAAUGUGUGUGUUUUUUCUUUUAACGAGAAAGAUCUAUAAUUAUAAUGUAAACAAGAGUACAAUGAGUACUACAACUCACUACAAAAAGAGGUGCAACACUUCAAACGAAAAAAAUAGCACACACCAUAAGCAAUACAAAAGCAUUAGUCUACAAAGCCAAUAGGGUGGCAUUUAACAUGGGGCAGUAAAAUUUUAUCCCACCAUGGAAAAGUGGAUCCAUUAUGGGCAGGUGGCAGUUUUAACUUGCUGCAGUUAAAAAAAGAAGAAAAAAAAAAUUACUUAUUAUUUUAUUCGGUUUCAACUUGCUAUUUCACCUCCUUGUUGCUGCAAUAAAAAAGGAUCUCCAGUAAAUUUGCUCCAAACCAACCCCAUCGGCCAUCUCUACACCUCAUCUGCGCCAAUCCACCAUUGUGUUUUUCUCUUACCAUCUUCAUGAGGAGCUGUUGAGAGUGAUGCCCAAUUGGCCAUGAAAUAUAUCCAACCAAUUUGCGCUCAAAUUUUCCAUGAAUGCAAAACAGACUCCUUUUGUUUGACACAUGCAUUUAUAUUUGUUUGGAUGGUAUCAUUGUGGAGAUGGUUGGAGAAAAUUUCAUGAAGUGAUUCUUCUAUUAGCUGAGGAAGAAAUUGGAAAAGAAUCAUUAUUUUUUUCUACCCAUUAUUUUAUAUGUAUAUAACUGUGUCGGUUUCUUUUCAAUUUUUUGGUUUGAAUGGAAUUUUAUUAAAUUUGAAAAACCAGUUUAUUUUUCCUCGAAAAAAGAAAUAGUUUAUUUUCUAAUAUAAAAGUGUUAUUCUACCACCUGACCAAAAAAAGUGUUAUUCUACCAAAAAAUAUUUAAUUAAAAGCGUUAAUUAUACCCAAAAAUACAAAAAAAAAAUUGCUUUUAAUUAGUAAAUAUGUUGUGGCUCAUACUCGAAGGUUACUUUAUAAGCCCCCCUCAUAUCUCUCUAGGCCCCCUAAAGUUACAAAAAUAUCCUCAAAUAACACAUUCUGUACAUACCUACGGAAGGUGAAUGUUUUUAAUUUUAUUUUUGCAGCUUCUGUACAUACCUACCGGACAGAGAAUUGAGGCAAAUAUUUAGGAAACUAAUAUGAAAAAAAGCCUGAAACUGAGUCCAUAAAUUCUCCAUUGAUGAAAAGCUUUUAAAACUUUAUAGUUGGAAUCUUUACAAAGGAGUCUAAGAUGAUGUGAUUUGCCAUCUCUAUUUCUCUGUCUACCUUUCAACAGGGACUACAAAGAGAAAAUUUUCAAUUGAGAAAAACUAUGAACUUCCUGAUGAACAAAUGGACAAGUUAUCACAAUUGGGGCUGAGAGGUUUCGUUGCCCAGAAGUCCUUUUCCAUCCAUCUAUGAUUUCAAAAUAUCUAUUUGGAAUGUAACUACAGAAAGUGUAAAUCUGAAAAUGUGAAAAUAUGCCUCCGGUAUGUACAUACCGAAGGUGCAAAAUGUGGAGAGAAAAAAUAUGCACUACCGGUUUGUAUCUACUGAAUGUGUUGUGAAGGUUAUUUUUGUAUUUUUAGGAGGCCUAAAAAGAUAUUGGAGGGGCCUAAAAAGUAACCUUCCAUUCUUAGAAGAAAAAAAAAUGGAAGCCAACAUCCAAACACAUAAAAGCCCACAAUCAAUUAUAAACAUAAACAAUUUGUUGUGGGGUAAAAAUUUUUGUAGUAGGUUUAAUUGGCAAAAAGUUAGAAGAAGGUUGCCAUCAACAAAUCUGAACCAUUCACUUAAAAUAUUAAUAUAUCAAUGGUUAAAACAUCAACUUUUUUAUGAUGGGAAAAAACUUCACUUUCCCAUUUUAAACCCCACCAGCCAAUAGAGAGAAACUACAUCAAAAGCUACACCACCUCAACAAGAACAAAAAGAUAAAUGGAGAAAAUUGAACCCGAAAUUUAUCAAGGACAGUCUCAAUUUGUGUGUUUUGAUACUUUUGUGUCUCAAAAUAAUUGAAUCAUUUGUAAAAUAAAAAAAAUUGUCUCACAAUAAUUUACUCGUUUCGCUUUUCAAUACAAUAUUAAUUACUUUUUUUUUAUUUAUAACUCUAAUUAAUACUACUUUCAUCAUUCCAAAUUUAAUAUCAAUAUAUUGAAUUUGGAGUAACGUAGAAUGUACAAAUAUUUGACAACACACUUAAAACCAUUUUUCACUCUUUCACUUAUAUAUUUUUUCUUAAUAUAUGUGAAAUGAACAAACGACUCACUUAUAUUAUAAAUCAGAGAAGUAUUUAGUUCAAGACUUUGUAUUGCUAAACUUUGACAUGUCUUGUGUUUAGUUUAGCCCCUUUAUUGAACAGGAAAAAAUACCGCAACUUCAGUAUCCCGGGCUAAAUGCCACCCCCCAUUCCCCAUAAGUUGCCAAAAGAAUAAAUAAACUCUGCUUUUGAUACAUAGACAUCCCUCGUUCCAACCAUCUAUGCAUAAAGACUCAAUAUAACGGCAAUUCAUCGAAGUACAUAAACCAAUUGUUUAAGGUGUACUAUUAGAGAAUCAAACCGAGGAACUAGUGGCGGAGCCAGGAAAUUUAUGGAGCUUGGGCAAAAAAUUAAUCGUAAAUUCACAUGUGACAUAAUAUAUAAACAGUCAUAAAUUGAAAGAAAAAUUUUUUUUUUCCUAAAAAAAAUUGAAAUAAAAGAUGUUUAUCAUUUUGUAAACAAAAGUACAAUUUAAAAUAUGAUUAUUAAUUGAAAUUGACCACGUAAUAUACAUGAAGUCUGAAAAUUGACCCUGCUGUAAUUAAAUAACAUGUAUUCUGACCAUGUAAUUCGAGAUUUUUAUUAUUUAUAACAUGUAAUAUACGCGAAGUCCAAAAAAGCAACCGAGAGAUUUAAUUUUUUCAUGAUUUCCUAGAGGCGAGUUAAGAACGUUAAAAUAUGGCUUUAACAAAAAAAAUAUAAAUUUUCGACAAACGACAAAUUAAUUAUGAUUUUUUAAAGUGUCAAAAGCUCAAAAAACAAAACAACGGAAAUCUCAAUCAAUAAAUCGAAUUUUGAGCUCAUUAUUUGCAGAGAGAUCUAUAAAAAUACAUAAAAAGGAUCUGUAAAGUUUCAUAGCAUUUCGAAGUCGUUUAAAUUUAUUUUGAUUUUUCAACUGAAACAUGUAAAAUUGAAAUUUUGUUUCGCGUAAGCGUAUACUCACAAGUCAAAUUUAGUUCCCUAAUUUUGUAGGCAUGACUAGAACAUGAUAAGAACCUUCACAAUGAAAUUUUGUAAUUUUUAAACUAGAUACAAAUUAAUUAUAAAUUGUUUAAGAAAUUCAUAAUUAUGAUGGAAUAAAAAUUCAUAAUUAAUUUAUCCCUGGUCGAAGAAAUUUAAUUUUGAGUAAAGCUAUAUUUUAACGUGCUAAAUAUGUAUGAAAAAAAUAGUGAAAAAAUUCAACAUGUAGGGCACAUUUUUAGACUACACGUAUAUUAUAGAGUGGUCAAAAUUAAAUAAGAAGAAAUUCAAGUUGCAAUGCUAGAAUAUAUAUUUUUUAUUUUAUUGGGUCAUUUUUCAAACAUAAAGUAUAUUACAAGGUCAAUUUGAACAAUUAACCCGUUAAAAUAAGAGAGAUGAACCCGUCAAUAGCGUACUAAAUAAAAUUUCAAGACUUAUUUGCGUGUGACAAUUUUCAGAUUGCCCAAAUUUUUCUUUUUGUAAAUGUGUUAACGGGCUUUUGGGUUGAGUCUAAUGUGCAAAAAUUAUCGAUCGAGCCCGGGCGAUCGUCUGGGGUCGCCAUACGGUAGAACCGCCCCUGCUAGGAACGAGGGGCGGAUCCACUUAGGUGUUAUGUGGAGCUAAAGCUCCACAUGUUUUUUCCUUUUUUUUUUGUUAUAAUUGAUAAAACGAAAAAGAAGUGACUUAGUAAAUAAUUCUCUCAUUUUCCCUUCUCUCUUAGUCUCGUAAAGUCAUUUCUAGUUUUUACGUGACAAAUUAUUGAGGAUGUCUGAGUUUUAUCCAAAUGAUUUUAUAGAUAUGUCGGAAGUGACGUUACGCACUCAACUUGUGAAUUAUGUUACAAAUGUUUAAAAUUUGCUAAGUUCAAAGGGCUUUUAGAUCUUUAUGCAAAACUUGUGGAAACAAAUAAGUGCAAACAAGAUGUAUGUUAGCACACUACUGUAUAUUAGACUAUUUGAUCUGCGAGUUUUUGUGUUUCUUACACAAUCUCGACGAGAAUAAUAUUUAUCGAUUAACAAAAAAUACAUUUAACUAAUUUGCAUUAUUAUACAAGGGUGAUUAAAUGGAGUAAGCCGAAUAGAGGUCGAAUGAAAUGUAAUAUUGAUGCAUCGUUUCCUAAUAAUGAGAACCGAAUUUGAAUAGGCAUUUGCAUUUGGGAUGAUGAAGGUGCAUUUGUGAUUGCAAUAACAUAAUGUUUAACUUCAAAGUGUGAUGUGCACAUUGAUGAAGCAUUGGGUUUGUUGACAACUCUUCAAUGGGUGCAUGAGUUACAUACAGUUAGGGCCUAUAGAGUUCGAACUUGAUUCCAAAAAAAGUGGUUGAUAGCUUUGGAGCUAAUAGGCAUGAUUCGACGGAAUUUGGAGCUAUUAUUAAUUAUUGUAAAAUAUUGUUUAAUCAUUUAUAUGAAAACUCGAGUGUAGAGUUUGUUCGGAGACAAGCAAAUGGGGUUGUCCAUGAAUUAGCAAAGGCGGCCACAUUAUCGAUUAGUUUCCAUAUUUUGGUUAUGCCACCACAUUGUAUUGAACACAUUUUAAUUAAUGAUAUUCUAUAAGUUUUCCCCUCUAAAAAAAAAACUAAUUUGCAUUAUUAUUUAUAUGAAAUUUUAACUACAUAUAUACCGAAAGUAUAGAUUUGCCCAUGGUAGAAACCCGUCAAAAUUUGUUAUUUCCACCAAUUAGUGAAUACUAUCCAUUUUACAAAGCCAUCAUUCGGUUAAGAAACUGUCAAAUUGUUAUCCUGCAUUCACUUAUAAUAGCAUGUGUCUUUCACUGUUAGACAAACAAACAAAUAUUAACAGCUUAAACUUUUUGAGAAUUUGUACAUAUUUUAAAAAAAUAUCAUAUGAAUAUGUAUUUAAUCUCACUUUUUGUACUUUACUACUAAAGAAGGUUUCAGAUUUCGCCACCAGAAUACUUUCCAUGUACUUCUCUUAUUUUAUCAUCACAUCUCUCACUUUCUUCUUUCAAGGUAGUUUUAUGAUCUAUUAAAAAGUUCACGGGGAAAUAAACAUCUAAGUAGGUUUUAGGCUAUGCCAAACUCUUUAAAAAGUUACGUUAGAUCCUUAAAAAAAGUUAUGUUAGAUCCUUAAAAGAUCAGAUUGAGAGACAAGGAAAGGGGCAUGUAAUUUCUUGGAUUGCUACAUGAAUAUCUACAAGUACAGACAAUUCAAUUUAGGAUUAAUGGUGUUUUUGGAUUAUUAUUGAAGAAGAAGAAGGUGAGGGGGGUACAUUACAACAA
rnacentral:lncRNA from 1 species